UUUCUUCCUCUUUCUCCCAAGAGGUGACCACACAUUGGUUCGUUGUAGAUCGAGGAUAGUUGGGAAUAUCUCGUGCAGUCCAUCAUCUACACUAUAAAGUUACAGUGAAGUUAAAAAUAGAGUCAAAAGCAAGGUCAAGCCGAAGAUUACUUGAUGCUGGAGUGAUUGGAAAGAAUAACUCAAGCAAGGAUUCAGAAACUAUAUCAUUACAUAUGGAACAAUAGUCAUCAAGAUAUAAUAUAGAUGAAAGGAAGUUAGAAUCAAAAAAUCAAGAGGAAUCGGAUAGUGGGAAGGAGACUGAAUUAGACCAGAAGGAAUUGAAACCGAUAAAGAUAAGAGACAUGAUUGUUAAAAAGGAAGUAAAAGAGGACAAAAUUAUUGGUAGAAAUGAAAAACACAAAUUGCAAGGAAGGGGAUCCACAAACACAAUGAUGGCGAAGAUGAAGAGGUAUGUUGUUUGUUGUAAUAUGUAGUAAGUACACUAUAAUCAUUAGUCGAUAGCUUGUUUUUAUUCAUGUAAUUUGGAGUAGAACACUGUAAUUGUUGAG